rnacentral:rRNA from 1 species
CCUACGGGAGGCAGCAGUGGGGAAUAUUGGGCACUGGGCGCAAGCCUGCCCCAGCAACGCCGCGUGAAGGAAGAAGGCUUUCGGGUUGUAAACUUCUUUUCUCAGGGACGAAGCAAGUGACGGUACCUGAGGAAUAAGCCACGGCUAACUACGUGCCAGCAGCCGCGGUAAUACGUAGGUGGCAAGCGUGAUCAGGAUUUACUGGGUGUAAAGGGCGUGUAGGCGGGCCUGCAAUUCAGAUGUGAAGACCAUGGUCUCAACCUAUGGCCUGCAUUUGAAACUGUAGUUCUUGAGUACUGGAGAGGCAGACGGAAUGCCUAGUGUAGCGGUGAAAUGCGUAGAUAUUAGGAGGAACACCAGUGGCGAAGGCGGUCUGCUGGACAGCAACUGACGCUGAGGCGCGAAAGCGUGGGGAGCAAACAGGAUUAGAUACCCCAGUAGUC